ensembl:lncRNA
GGGACCGUGGGGCUGGCAGCCGGGGCGGGGAGCGGUCAGCGGAGGCCACGCCCACGGCGGGACGCCCCGCCCACCUCCAGCCCGCCCAGAGCGCAGCUUCUUCCACUGCCUUUGGAGUUUUGAGAUUCCUAACGCUAACUCUUGAAGCACUGUCUUCGGGUACGAGUGUUGCAAACCUCACAUUUCAUACUGAGUGUGUUCGUGGUCCUGGCGUCAGGCUGCUUUCACUAAGAUUGCUGCUACACGCACUUGCACACGAGCCUUUCCCUGGGGAGGAGCUUCGGGGCCGGGGACCAGAGCGCACGUGCUUUCAACGUCACCCGCCAACACGCCCGGUUCACAGCAAGGCGGCGCCACCUGGUGAUCUCAAGGGCACACGCCACUGUUUUGGUUGGUAUUCUGCAACUCUUGGAUUUUUUAAAAAACACUCUUUAUUUGGCUGCGUCGGAUCUCAGUUGCAGCAUGUGAGACCGUCACGGUCAUGGGGUCUUCCAUUGUGGCUCAUGGACUCUGGUUGAAGCAAGCGGGCUUCAGGAGCUGCCGUCCUUGUGCUUAGUUGCCCCAAGGCAGGAGGGGUCUUUGUUCCCAGACCAAGGAUCAAACCUACGUCCCCAGCAUUGCAGGGCGGCUUCGUAAGCAUUCAGCCGCCAGGUCUCUCCAGGGAAGCCCCGCUGCAACGCUCGGGUUUUUGAGACGCUGGUGAGAAAGAAACCUCUUUGAGCUUUUCAUGCUGUUUCAUCAGUUACUAGAGAAGCUGAGUCUUCCUGAGUUCCGUGAAGCAUCCGUUUGAAUCUUUAGUUCAGUUUCCGGGGAUGGUUGUCUUUUCCUUGCUAAUUUGCACGGCUUUUAUGUAUACUCUGGCCGUGAGCUCUUUGCGGUGAAAUCACGGAAGCUCUUGACUAGUCCGACGUGUCCGUUUUCUGCUCUAUCCUUUGCGCCUUUUGGUGCUAUGGGGUGUUUAUCCACGGCUAGUGGAUUCGUG